CCAUUUUAUUUUUUUUGUGCUGGUGAGGAGAACUAUGUGGACAGCCGGACGGUCUACAUCGGACACAAGGAGCCUCCCCCCGGAGCCGAUGCCUUCAUUCAGCAGAGAUUUCCCGACAACAGAAUAGUUUCCUGCAAGUACACGUUUUGGAACUUCAUCCCCAAGAACAUGUUCGAGCAGUUCCGGCGAGUCGCCAACUUUUACUUCCUCAUCAUUUUCCUGGUUCAGUUGAUUAUCGACACACCCACAAGUCCGGUCACGAGCGGUCUGCCUCUGUUCUUUGUCAUCACAGUCACAGCCAUUAAACAGGGGUACGAGGACUGGCUGAGGCACAAAGCGGACAAAGCUGUCAACCAGUGUCUGGUCACCGUGGUCCAGCGCGGGAAGAAGAUCAGCAAAGAGAGCUGCAGACUCACGGUUGGAGAUGUGGUCUAUGUGAAGGAAGACGAGACUUUUCCGUGCGACCUCAUCCUCCUCUCUUCAUCUCGAGAUGAUGGAACGUGCUACGUUACCACAGCCAGCUUGGAUGGAGAGAGCAGCCACAAGACCUAUUACGCCGUCCAGGACACCAAAGCCUUCACCACCGAGGAGGAGGUGGACUCCAUCCACGCCACCAUCGAAUGUGAACAACCGCAGCCGGACCUGUACAAGAUUUCAUUUGGAUAUACUGCUUGGAGAAAUAAGCCGCUGGGGUCGGAGAACGUCCUGCUCCGAGGAGCCACGCUCAAAAAUACCAAGUACAUCUAUGCUGUUGCCAUCUACACGGGAAUGGAAACCAAGAUGGCUCUCAACUACCAGUCCAAGUCCCAAAAACGAUCCGCCGUGGAAAAGUCCAUGAACUCCUACCUGGUGGUGUACCUGUGCAUCCUCAUCAGCAAAGCGCUCAUCAACACGGUGCUGAAGUACAUCUGGCAGGCUGACCCCAACAGAGACGAGCCCUGGUACAACGACAGGACGGAGACGGAGAGGCAAAGACACAUCCUGAUCAGGGCCUUCACCGACUUCCUGGCCUUCAUGGUCCUGUUCAACUACAUCAUUCCCGUCUCCAUGUACGUCACGGUGGAGAUGCAGAAGUUCCUGGGCUCCUACUUCAUCAUGUGGGACGACGACAUGCACGAGGAGGAGCUGGGCGAGAGGGCCGUGGUCAACACGUCUGACCUGAACGAGGAGCUGGGGCAGGUGGAGUACGUCUUUACGGACAAGACGGGGACUCUGACGGAGAACAACAUGGAGUUCAUAGAGUGCUGCGUGGACGGACAGAUCUACGACGCUGACGGUUUAUGGGAUUUUGUACUUCCUGAGCGGAAGGAGCUGUUUUUCCGGGCCUUGUGUUUGUGCCACACGGUGCAGGUGAAGGAGGAGGAGACGGUGGACGGGAUCAAACAUGGCAUCCACCAGGGAAAGCCCUCCUCCUUCUACAUCUCCUCGUCGCCGGAUGAAGUCGCUCUAGUGGAGGGCAUGAAGAAGCUUGGUUAUACCUAUCUGAGGCUCAAAGACGGUCACAUGGAGAUCUUAAAUAAGGAGGACGAGAUUGAGAGGUUUGAACUUCUGGAGGUUUUGUCGUUCGACUCGGUCCGGAGGAGGAUGAGCGUCAUCGUCAGAGCCUGCUCCGGUGACAUCUACCUGUUCUGCAAGGGCGCCGACUCCUCCAUCCUCCCCAGAGUGGUCUCAGGAAAGGUGGCUGAGGUGAAAGCUCGAGUGGAACACAACGCCGUGGAUGGCCUGAGGACUCUGUGUGUGGCCUAUCGGCCGCUGGCAGCCAGCAGGUCUGCAUAUUUGUCAUUCAAACAUCAUUUGGGCUUUAAUGUUAGCAGAAAUACGGCACAUUUUAUUAGAAUAAAAAGUGAUUUAAAACGUGUUUUAUCUUGGUUUUUCAGGCUGCAGGACAAAGCGGCAGAUACCAUCGAGUCUCUCCACAAAGCGGGAAUGAAGGUGUGGGUUUUGACCGGAGACAAGAUGGAGACGGCGGCCGCCACCUGCUACGCCAGCAAGCUGUUCCGCCGCGGCACCCACAUCCUGGAGCUGACCACCAAACGGGUGGAGGAGCAGAACCUCCACGAUGUCCUGUUUGAACUGACUGAACGCUCCUCCUUCUUCUCCAGUUUGUCGACUGACUGCACCGACUACGGGCUGAUCAUCGAUGGAGCCACCCUCUCUGCAGUCAUGAGUUACAAAGAGAUCUUUCUGGAAAUCUGUCGUAACUGCAGCGCCGUGCUCUGCUGUCGAAUGGCGCCGCUGCAGAAAGCUCAGAUUGUGAAAAUGAUUAAAACUUCCAAAGAGCAUCCGAUCACGCUGGCCAUCGGAGACGGCGCCAAUGAUGUCAGCAUGAUCCUGGAGGCCCACGUCGGCAUCGGCAUCAUGGGUAAAGAGGGGCGUCAGGCUGUGAGGAACAGCGACUACGCCAUCCCCAAGUUUAAGCACCUGAAGAAGAUGCUGCUCGUCCACGGACAUUAUUACUACAUCCGCAUCUCGGAGCUGGUUCAGUACUUCUUCUACAAGAAUGUUUGCUUCAUCUUCCCACAGUUCCUCUACCAGUUCUUCUGCGGCUUCUCCCAGCAGCCGCUGUACGACACCGCCUACCUGACGCUCUACAACAUCAGCUUCACGUCGCUGCCCAUCCUGGUGUACAGCCUGAUGGAGCAGCACAUCAACAUGGACAUCCUGAAGAAGGACCCCUCCCUCUAUAAAGAUAUUGCCAAGAACUCGUUGCUGAGAUGGCCCACCUUCAUAUACUGGACCGUUCUGGGGGUCUACGACGCCAUCGUCAUGUUUUUCGGCGCCUACUUCCUGUUCGAUAACACCACCUUCACCAGCAACGGACAGAUGUUUGGGAACUGGACGUUUGGGACGCUGGUCUUCACCGUGCUGGUCUUCACCGUCACCUUCAAGCUGGUCCUGGACACGCAUUACUGGACGUGGAUCAACCACUUCGUCAUCUGGGGGUCGCUGGUGUUCUUCGUGCUCUUCUCUCUGCUGUGGGGUGGAAUCAUCUGGCCGUUCCUCAACUACCAGAGGAUGUAUUACGUCUUCAUGCAGAUGCUGUCCAGCGGCCCGGCCUGGCUCAGCAUCAUCCUCCUCAUCACCGCCGGCCUGCUGCCAGACGUGGUGAAGAAGGUCAUCUGGAGGGCCAUGUGGCCCACCAUCACCGAGCGCAUACAGGUGAGUCCCGUCUGAACCGGCGGCGGCGGCGGCGGACGUUCACCCACGCUGACGUGUGCUGUGGCUCAGCAGGUGAACGCCGGGCCGUGCCGCGUCCUGGCGUUCCUGCACGUGAGUCGCUCCGCCCCUCCACGUGCGUGCGGUGCUCCUGUCUUCUCACAAACUCAAGAAUGGAUGUUUAUAGCCUCAAACCGGCAGGAUGUUUUAUUGAUGAAGAAAAUGAAUCAAAUGUGGCUCCGAUGUGGCGCCGGAGUAAAGACGAUCACAGGUGUCAAAGUCGAGGCCCGGGGGCCGGAUCCGGCCCUCCAGAUCCUUUUAUUUUAUCAAUGUCCCGAUGUUAG
rnacentral:lncRNA from 1 species